rnacentral:lncRNA from 1 species
AAAUAGGUUCUCUCCUAUUUCCUAAAAGCUGACGAUCCGGGUGCAGAAGCUGAACAGAUGUUGUUCUGCCUUUCCCAGACAACAGGCUGUCUCCAUGAAACUCCUCAAAUUUCAUCCAAUAAACAAAUAUUUUCUAUUCUUUAUAGCACACUUUAAUAUUUUAUUUUAUAUAUAUUCUUCGUCUUGAACAAUAUAUUCUCUAAAUUCGGUACUUUAUAUAAACAGUGUUACCGGACUUCGUAUUCUGUAUAUUUUUUAUAACUGGCGCACAGGAAAAGGUCUCGUCACAGUAUUAAAAUACGACCUAUACUAAUUCUAGAAUACGAUUUUUUUAUAUCGAACACACAGAAAAAGUUUGUUCGCGUGUCUCAAAAAAUAAAAUACUAUACAUAUUACGUUAUUCGUUAUUUAGCCAACAUCACUCAUUCUUAUUUUAUACACAACCCUUACCAGACCAUGUAUUUUACAAAUGUUUCGAAUCGGACAUAUGAAAAAUAAGUAAAUGAUCAACCGUAUUUGCCGAUAAUAAAAGUGGUAUGUAUUGUCCGUCUCGUCCAAAUGUCUCUAUCCUCUGUCCUGUCGCGGGAGCGAGCUAUCACGCCUUUAGGCUAUCCGCACUCAUACUACUCUAAAUUUCUACCCUAAAAAGAAUAUUCUGUCAUGGUCAGCAAAAUUCUUUACUCUAUAUCACAAUCCUCUGCACUCAUGUUUACUCUAUACCAUAUAUUCUAUUAUUUCUCUCUCCUGGUGCCCCGCCUCGGGUCCCACAACCUUUGCUG